rnacentral:rRNA from 1 species
AUUCCAGCUCCAAUAGCGUAUAUUUAAGUUGUUGCGGUUAAAAAGCUCGUAGUUGGAUUUCGGGCGUGGAGGUUCGGUCCGCCGUUUCGGUGUGCACUGUCUUUCUGCGUCUUUCUGUCGGGGACGCGCUUCUGGCCUUAAUUGGCUGGGACGUGGAUUCGACGAGGUUACUUUGAAAAAAUUAGAGUGUUCAAAGCAAGCUAAAGCUCUGAAUACAUUAGCAUGGAAUAACGCGAGAGGACUCGGUCCUUAUUUUGUUGGUCUUCAAGGAUGGAGUAAUGAUUAAGAGGGACAGUUGGGGGCAUUCGUAUUUCAUUGCUAGAGGUGAAAUUCUUGGAUUUAUGAAAGACGAACUUCUGCGGAAGCAUUUACCAAAGAUGUUUUCAUUA